rnacentral:rRNA from 1 species
UACAGAGGAGCCAAGCGUUGUCCGGAUUGACUGGGCGUAAAGCGCACGCAGGCGGCAUCGCGUGUGGGGUGUGAAAUCUGGCCGCUUAACGGCCAGGCGCCAUCCCAUACGGCGAGGCUGGAGCGAUGCAGAGGUCGGUGGAAUUGCCGGUGUAGUGGUGAAAUGCGCAGAUAUCGGGAGGAACACCUAUGGCGAAGGCAGCUCGCUGGGACGUUACUGACGCUGAGACGCGAAAGCGUGGGGAGCAAACAGG